UCAUCAAUAGUGACUUCCAUUGGCUGCAUGAAUUUAACAAUUUUUUGCUUUCACUUGGACAGAUUUUAAUUUAAAAAGAUGAGAUAAUUUUAACUAAUAAAUUAAUUUUAUUAAAUUAUCACCACUUACUGUCGGCGAUGCUUUUUGAGAAUGGAAGUUGAUCAAACUUUUACUGUAGUACUGCAUAUAGCAAGUGGAUUGACUUGGUCUUGGUUGAAAUGCUUACCUCACAUGAAGUUUUUUGUUUUGUCAAUUGAGUCCAAUUGGUAUUCGAGUUAACUCAAGACUUUAUAUGGAGGAAGAUACUGAUCUUGUUUUGUAGUCGUUGUCGGCUUGUAAAAAUUGGAGCAGCCACUACCCUUUUAAAUAGAGCUCAUCAGAAUCAAUGGCCAGAAAAUUGGAAAAUCUUGGAGCAGGGUUUUUCCCAAGGGCGAAGAAAUUUCUUUAAACAGAGGACGAGGAAUACGCAACUUCAAAUAUGCUACAAGGUAAGCAUUUCAAAGUUGUAGCUUAGUUAUCCAUUUUGCGAAAAGAGUAAUUAAGCAAGAUCGAGAUUUACCUGUUGUUUGCUUAAUUAACACAGAGCAGAUUCGGGGACAGUUCUGGAAGAAGGAUUUGAUUGAUUCUAGUAUUUGAUUUGAUUUGAUUUGAUUUUUUUCAAUCUUCUCUUCGCUGUUGGGUUUCUUUACAAUUGAAUCUUGAUGUUGUGCCAAAUUCUUUCUCCCAAACCUCUACAGCAAAAGCAAAAGAACAAGCGUUGAAAGGAGCUCUUGAAUUAAACCCCCUGGGAAGAUGUUUUCAAUGGAUAAUUCCCUUCCAAUAAUUAGCAAGAUUGAUCGUUUAAUUAGAAGGGGAAGGGGUGGGAAAGUCUUGAAGUUAUAUUGUCCUGAGCUUGAAGAUCAAAGGGAUACUUCAUGAACUUCAUUUGAUCAAUGGACGUUCUCUGCAAAUACCCAUUUUCAUAUAUUAUUUUCUUAACGUGGGGAUCAUCCUUGCGAUGCAUAAAUCAACCGCAUCAAACAAAAAAGAAGAUUGAUCUUUUUCAUGCUAAUGAUCGAGAACCAGUACAAAAAGCAAAAGGCACAAGCACUACUCUUAAGCAUUGGUGUUGGAUGUAUCAUGUUGUAUGGACAAAUUAUAUAUAUUAAUACAAUCAGUAAAUUCAAAAAAUAGUGUCUCUUUUCUCAAAUUCAAUGGGGAUUCACUUGAAAAUGUGCAUCCACCAAGCCGCCCUGCAGCUGCGACCACCUUGACGCCUAAUCCCUCGUGACAGUGGCCAUAAGUGGCCGAAAGAGUAGAGAAGAAGAUGGCGAGGGAGCAGUAUAGACAGUUCUGUGAACAAGAAGUCUUCCCUGCUUGCGCAUGGUUAGUUUGUUUCUCGAUUAGCUUGGGCCUUGGCCCUCGUUGUCAUUUGUCCUCUUUCUCAUUCCAAAAGCCUCAAUCAACAAGCGCAUAGAGCGCAUGCGGAAACUACUUUUACAUAUUUAUGAUUGAUAUAUAAUUAAUCGAGUUUAAAUAAAAAAUUUUGAUAUUA